rnacentral:lncRNA from 1 species
GCAAGAUACUGCCUCUUUUGACCUACAGCAUGGAAGAUGAGAAUGGAGAAUCAGCUGUUUUUGAGAAGGAGAGGAAGAAGUUCCUUUUAAUUGGAGUUUCCCCCCAAAUAGAUCCCAAGACAAGUAAUGUGUUUGGGGAUGUAGCUGAGAAGAUCACUAUGGGCAACAGAGGCUCAGUUCCGCUGGGGACACAUAAGAAGCUGUGAACUCUUCCCAAGAAUUGUUUCCCCGAGGGGCGAAGAAGGUGGGGUGUUGAUCCAUGCAUCGUGGCUGAGGAGUGUCCUGGGGUUUAACUCUGAGGAAAAAGCCCUCGGAGAAGCGUGGUAAUAGGGGAAUUUGUCUGACUGAGCCUGAACUGGUUCUUUCCAGCUUUGAUGGCCUUGACCACGAGGAAUGAGGCAAGAUAGAGGCAGGUGGGGUAGAGGGCAGGGCAGAGAGAUGGACGAGGGAGAAGCCUGGAGGACAUCACAGAAGAAAGGACAUCUAGGCAUCUGUCCAGGCUCGAAUGGACUGAAAGACCAGCCAGUGAGAGCGGGAGACACUCUAGGGGCAUCUUCUGGAUUCUAAGCUUGUUCUUGAUUGACAUAAAGGAUAGAAAGGAGCCUUCUAGACAAUGGGCAUAAAGGAGGAACUCGAGGGAACUGAAGGGUAGGAAGGCCCUCUUCACUGUUCUCUACAGUAGUGCUUGUGCUGGAGACUCUGGUUCACUAUUGCUGGAGUGGGACCUGGAGUCUUUAUUUGUUAAAAAAAAAUUCCCCUGGUGGAUUUUGGCGUGCACCAUUUGUCCAAAACACUGCUCCGGUCCAGCCUUUUACAGGGGUGCCUGCGUUGCUCCGUCAGUUAAGCAUCUACUUUCAAGUCAGGUCAAGAUCCUGGUGUCCUGGAAUGGAGCCCUGAGCCCCACCUGGUCUGACUUUCAGCUCAGCAGAGGGGCCAGCUUCUCCCUCUCCCACUGCCCCUGCUCUGCUUUCUUGUGCUCCC